GAUGAACGCUAGCGAUAGGCUUAACACAUGCAAGUCGAGGGGCAGCAUGGUCUUAGCUUGCUAAGACUGAUGGCGACCGGCGCACGGGUGCGUAACGCGUAUGCAACUUGCCUCACAGAGGGGGAUAACCCGUCGAAAGACGGACUAAUACCGCGUACACUCCAUCUUGGGCAUCCAAGGUAGAGGAAAUGAAAUUCGCUGUGAGAUAGGCAUGCGUCCCAUUAGCUAGUUGGUGAGGUAACGGCUCACCAAGGCGACGAUGGGUAGGGGAACUGAGAGGUUGAACCCCCACACUGGUACUGAGACACGGACCAGACUCCUACGGGAGGCAGCAGUGAGGAAUAUUGGUCAAUGGGCGAGAGCCUGAACCAGCCAAGUCGCGUGAAGGAAGACUGUCUUAUGGAUUGUAAACUUCUUUUAUACGGGAAUAACAAGAGUCACGUGUGACUCCCUGCAUGUACCGUAUGAAUAAGCAUCGGCUAACUCCGUG
rnacentral:rRNA from 1 species